UGUUUCCUGAAGGAAGGAGCAGAGGUCCGAUAUCAGAACAAAAGAUGAAGGGCUCCACGUUUUGCCUAAUUGGAAUAACUGAGAUGGUGAGGAGUUUGGGAGCUGAGUCACCUGAGAUUCCCAGUGAAGACCUUCUUUUUCCGAAGGUCCUUGGGUUGGAACAAUGCUCAGCUAGAAAGGAAGUGAUGUCAUUAUAUCAUAUAUCAAUUUCAUGAUAAAGAAACUGAGAACACUGAAAUCACUUGCUCCAAGUCAUUCAUGAGCAAGUGGUGGAAUUAGGAUUUGAAUCUAAAGCCUGCAUUCCUGCCCAGUGCAGUCUGUCCAGUGCUACAUAAGGUCUCAGGAAAAGCAGGCUGCUGACAGAAUUGUAAUUGAAUUACCUAGCCUGAAGCCACUACUUACAGAUGGCCCCUUGGACCCCAGAGAAAGGAACCCACUAACAAGUGAAGUUCAUGUGUGAAAUGAAAACUAUUUGCUAUUCCAUAUACUGAAUUGCACAAACUGAGAGCAGUGAGUCAAUUGGAGCAAACUGAAGAGCAUCCAUGAGAAAUGAAAGCGCAUUUCCUUUCCCUGCAGAUGGGACACUGGAAAAGGAAUCAAAAGCAGUGGGUUCAAGUACCUCUUAAUAGUGAGGUGAUUCGGGGUGUUCUUCUGCAGUCAGCCCCUCGGAGC
rnacentral:lncRNA from 1 species